UCAGCAGACACAUCCCGGCCAAUCUGCAGCAGACCCUCCCACCUCCUGGACAGCAUCCAUUUUGAAGCAGCUUCAAAAUGGAUGCUGUCCAGGAGGUGGGAGGGUCUGCUGCAGAUUGGCCGGGAUGUGUCUGCUGA